CCCGCGUCUUCUCUCUCCCCAGGACUUAGAGAGCAGAAAGUCUCCUCUGCCAGAGCAGGGAGACCCGGCCACGCCAGUGCACUGGCUUCCUCCCCUCCCCCGACCCUUUUGGUCCAGGAACCACAACUCCAUGGGAGAGGAAAGAGGAUGUCUGAGAAGAAGAGGAAGCCAGAAUAAUGAGUACAUGCAGGAGAGGAGACUGGACCAAGGAGUCUCUGAGCAGCGCCUGACCGGAUAAUGACAACCUUGUUUUAUGGAACUUCCAGAGGUACCUUUGUCCCUUGGGAAUUCGCCUUCAAGGACCUCCCGGACGGACCAAGACACCAUCAAGCGCCCAUGAAGGCCCCUGAGGAGGAGGGACGGACAGAAUCAAACUUGGAGUUCUCCUUUGGCUCAGAGGUGUCUCCCUCAUAUCUUGGUCUCUCCUGGUGGCUCAGCCCCUGGCCGGAAGCCUCCUUCCCUUGUCUCUGUGUAAUUCCAUCGAGGGUCCCCAAAAGGAAUGGAAGAUCUCAAGUUCUUCAGGUUCUUGGAAAAUCCCCUUACGGGGUGCAUCUCCUGGGAGACAGCGUUCCCAGAGCCCCAGAACUUGUCUGUGUGGAGGCCAUGAGAGCAUUGUCUUCACUGUCCUCCUUAAGGACUUCUUUCCAACUACUUGGGCAGUUCUGUCUUUUCAAGGUUCACCAAUGGUUGGCAGUAGCUUCAAAUGGAAGUAUCCAGAGUGUGUGGGAGUCGAGGCUAUUAAACCCAAGGCGACUGGUCUAGUUUGGGGUCUCUGCUUUGGACCAAUGAAAAUGGAGGAAAGUUCUUCAUGGAAUGAAAUACUAUGACUUGGGAUUCUUUUUUAUAAUGGUUGUCAAUGUGUGUGAAAAAGCUUCUCACAGAA